rnacentral:lncRNA from 1 species
UGAGUGGGACUUCUUGGCAGGAAUGAUGGCGCAUCUUGGGUUUCAUAUUGACUGGAUUGUACGUAUUAUGAGAUGUGUCUGUUCUGUCUCCUAUUCCGUCAGUCUUAAUGGAGCUGUUGGUGAUUGGUUUUCUCCAUCAAGAGGGUUGCGACAAGGAGACCCCCUCAGCCCUUAUUUGUUUUUAAUUUGUGCAGAGGGUUUUUCUACACUUAUUCAGGAAGCAAAGCAAAAGGGGCAGAUGGUGGGAGCAGCUAUUGGUAGGGAGAGGUUGACCAUUAAUCAUUUGUUCUUUACUGAUGACUGUAUCCUUUUUGGAGAUGCGACGAGUAAUGGAGCAAGAGUAGUUCGGGAUGUCAUUCGGGAAUAUGAGACUGUAUCAGGCUAACGGGUGAAUUUUGAUAAGUCUCUGAUUUAUUUUGGGGCGAAUGUAGACUCAGAUCUUAAGGUUGAUAUUGUUAAUUUGUUAGGUGUUCGGGAGGCUUUGAACUCAGAGAAGUAUUUAGGGCUGCCUAUGAUGAUAGGCCGGAGGAAAACAUGGGUGUUUGUUAACCUUGUGGAUCGAUUUAAGAAACGUAUCGAAGGGUGGAGUUUGCGAUACCUAUCUAUGAGGGGAAGGAGGUUUUUAUCAAAUUAGUUCUACAAGCGACACCGAUUUAUGCAAUGCAAUAUUUUCUUAUGCCGAAAUCAUUAUGCCGAAAGCUUGAGAGUAUUAUGAACAGAUUUUGGUAGGCUAAUAAUAAGUCACUGAAUGUCAUUCACUGGAGUAAGUGGGAACCGUUAUGCAAGCCUAAGUGUCUUGGAGGGUUGGGUUUUAAAGCUAUGUUCCUUUUUAAUAAAGCCUUACUUGCGAAACAGGUUUGGCGUAUUUUAGACCAACCCCAUUGUUUGCUUGCCAGAGUUUUUAAAGCCCGGUAUUUUCCUAAGUCUGAUGUCUUAUCAGGAAAGAUUGGAGCUUACCCAUCAUUUACCUGGAGAAGUAUUUGUAUUGCGCGUGAAGUGAUUGGAGAUGGGGUCCUGUGGCGGGUUGGCAAGGGGGAUCGCAUUAACAUCUGGAACGAUCCUUGGCUUCCUGGUAGAGAGAACAACCAUAUUCAAGUACAGGAAAUUCAGCAAUCGUGGUCUACGGUUAAUCAGCUAAUCGAUGCAGAUUCGUGUACCUGGGAUAGAACGCUGCUUCUAAAGAUCGUUGAUGAGAAUACAGCGGACCGAAUUCUUGCUAUUCCCAUAUCUAUAAGUAGACCAGAGGAUAGGGUGGUCUAGAAACAUGAAGGCUCUGGGGAGUAUACAGUCAAGAGUGGGUAUCGGGUACUAUUUGCAGCUCAUCUACAAAGUACUGCUUACAUGCCUAUUAUUGAUAAGGUUUACAUAGAUUUUUACAAAGAUUUAUGGUCAUUAAGUAUUCCCGAUAAAAUCAAAAUUCACAUUUGGAGGCUUGUUAAUAAUCUGGUGCCGCAUUUCGGUAAUCUGGCGAGGAGAAUGUUGUGUGUGGACACAUAUUGUCCGCUAUGUAAGUACGAACUGGAAGACACUAAUCAUCUGGUGUGGUCUUGCAAUAUUCUGCAACAGGUUUGGGCAUCGCUUUCCAUUAAAGUCCCAUCGUUUGAUGAGUCGUUGAGCCACAAGCUCCGAUUUGUUAAUACGUUUUCUGCAGCAGAUGACCAACAGAAACGGAUCAUUGUAAUUGCCAUAUGGAGCCUUUGGUUCCAUAGAAAUAAGUCUGUUCAUGAGGGCAUUAAUUUUUCGAUGCAGGCGGUGUUAGGGUUUAUUCGGGGUUACGAACAAGAAAUUUAUUGCAGUCGGUUGCUACUCUGUCCUACUCUUAGAUCUAAGGUUAAAGGGAUCUGGAGACCCCCAGAUAUGGGAGUUCUUAAAUUUAAUUUUGAUGCAGACUGCUACAACAGCUGUGCUUGCCAGAAAUGAUACAGGUGAAAUUGUAGGAGCAGAAACUUAUCUGUUUGCUGACAUCGUGAAUGCGUUCGUGGCUGAAGCAAGGGCUUGUGAAAGGGCAUUGAUUUUUGCAAGAAGUAUG